rnacentral:rRNA from 1 species
UACGGAGGAUCCGAGCGUUAUCCGGAUUUAUUGGGUUUAAAGGGUGCGCAGGCGGGAGAUUAAGUCGGCGGUGAAAUUUUGCAGCUCAACUGUAAAAGUGCCUUCGAAACUGGUUUCCUUGAGUGUAGAUGAAGUAGGCGGAAUUUGUGGUGUAGCGGUGAAAUGCAUAGAUAUCACGAGGAACUCCGAUUGCGCAGGCAGCUUACUAAACCACUACUGACGCUCAGGCACGAAGGCGUGGGGAUCAAACAGGAUUAGAUACUCCCGUAGU